rnacentral:rRNA from 1 species
AACGCUAGCUACAGGCUUAACACAUGCAAGUCGAGGGGCAGCAUGGUCUUAGCUUGCUAAGACUGAUGGCGACCGGCGCACGGGUGAGUAACACGUAUCCAACCUGCCGUCUACUCUUGGACAGCCUUCUGAAAGGAAGAUUAAUACAAGAUGGCAUCAUGAGUCCGCAUGUUCACAUGAUUAAAGGUAUUCCGGUAGACGAUGGGGAUGCGUUCCAUUAGAUAGUAGGCGGGGUAACGGCCCACCUAGUCUUCGAUGGAUAGGGGUUCUGAGAGGAAGGUCCCCCACAUUGGAACUGAGACACGGUCCAAACUCCUACGGGAGGCAGCAGUGAGGAAUAUUGGUCAAUGGGCGAGAGCCUGAACCAGCCAAGUAGCGUGAAGGAUGACUGCCCUAUGGGUUGUAAACUUCUUUUAUAAAGGAAUAAAGUCGGGUAUGGAUACCCGUUUGCAUGUACUUUAUGAAUAAGGAUCGGCUAACUCCGUGCCAGCAGCCGCGGUAAUACGGAGGAUCCGAGCGUUAUCCGGAUUUAUUGGGUUUAAAGGGAGCGUAGAUGGAUGUUUAAGUCAGUUGUGAAAGUUUGCGGCUCAACCGUAAAAUUGCAGUUGAUACUGGAUAUCUUGAGUGCAGUUGAGGCAGGCGGAAUUUGUGGUGUAGCGGUGAAAUGCUUAGAUAUCACGAAGAACUCCGAUUGCGAAGGCAGCCUGCUAAGCUGCAACUGACAUUGAGGCUCGAAAGUGUGGGUAUCAAACAGGAUUAGAUACCCUGGUAGUCCACACGGUAAACGAUGAAUACUCGCUGUUUGCGAUAUACGGCAAGCGGCCAAGCGAAAGCGUUAAGUAUUCCACCUGGGGAGUACGCCGGCAACGGUGAAACUCAAAGGAAUUGACGGGGGCCCGCACAAGCGGAGGAACAUGUGGUUUAAUUCGAUGAUACGCGAGGAACCUUACCCGGGCUUAAAUUGCAGAUGAAUUACGGUGAAAGCCGUAAGCCGCAAGGCAUCUGUGAAGGUGCUGCAUGGUUGUCGUCAGCUCGUGCCGUGAGGUGUCGGCUUAAGUGCCAUAACGAGCGCAACCCUUGUUGUCAGUUACUAACAGGUUCCGCUGAGGACUCUGACAAGACUGCCAUCGUAAGAUGUGAGGAAGGUGGGGAUGACGUCAAAUCAGCACGGCCCUUACGUCCGGGGCUACACACGUGUUACAAUGGGGGGUACAGAGGGCCGCUACCACGCGAGUGGAUGCCAACCCCAAAAACCUCUCUCAGUUCGGACUGGAGUCUGCAACCCGACUCCACGAAGCUGGAUUCGCUAGUAAUCGCGCAUCAGCCACGGCGCGGUGAAUACGUUCCCGGGCCUUGUACACACCGCCCGUCAAGCCAUGGGAGCCGGGGGUACCUGAAGUGCGUAACCGCGAGGAGCGCCCUAGGGUAAAACUGGUGACUGGGGC